ensembl:lncRNA
UUUUUACAAGCCUUCCUGGUGAUUCGGACACAGCCCGGCCUGCUGUGACCCAUUUUCAGAGCCACCGGUGUCCAUGUGCUGUCAUAGGCAGUCAGAAGUGGCACCAGGCCCAGGCCACCUGCAGCACAUAGUGAGAGCAGAGGAGCCCAGCGAGGUCCGGCUGUCCGAGUUUCUUUCUAGCCUUCUCCUUGAGGUGAUUGCAGCGUCGGCCUUCCAGAGUUGACAUGGAAGAGAGGACUCCGGGAAAGAAGAAAAAUCUAUUGAAAUGGAUAAGGGCCUGGGUCUGCCCAAGUGUGAUCUCAUUUUCAUAACUCCUCAUAUGACAUAUAGUCCAUCCCUCAGUCCAGCUUUUCACCUUCUAACUAAUACUACCACAGACAUCCUUUUUUUUCUUUGAGCAUCUCUGAUUAUUUCUUUCAUCCUCUUCAACUUUUUCCCCAGGGCCGGACCCUACUGUUAUGUCUAGGUGUUGCUGUGAGGGGGCAACUGGCUUCCUGGCCAACUCCAGCUAAGUGGCUUCCUCACAGCCUCUCAUACUCCCCUUGGGUGGUCAGCUAUAGCCCUACCACUGGUGGCUGAGCAGGUCUCUAAGCCCUUGCUAAUACAAACAUGCUCCUGGACCAGCAGCACUGGUCUCCUCUGGAAGCUUGUUAGAAAUGCAGACUCUGAGGUUGAAUCCAAACCUGUAUUUUCGCAAGAUCCCGAGUGAUUCUUAGACACGUGGAAGUUUGAGAAGCCCUAUUCUAAGGGCUAACAUCUUGCGAAGAGCAUAGCUGCUUCCUCUGCCCGACACUGAAGGGAUGAGAUCAGAGGCUUCAAGUGCAGACUGGAGAUCCUCAAGUUUAAGGUAAAGACAGGAGAAGGAAGGUGGUCCCCAUGGCAGGAGGACUCUGGAAGUUGCUGAGAGCACAAACGUCCCGCAGAAACAACCUGGUGAUUCAUGAGCAGACACUGUUCUGGUCCUGGAGAUACAACAGUGAACAAAACAAAGAUCCCUGUCUCGUGGGACAUACACGCAAUGAACAAUAAACCUAACCACAUAUUGUAGCAGAUUGAAGGCAGAAGAUAUGAAAAUCCAGCUGUCUUCUAUUAAACCAAACUUAGACAGAUUUGCAAAAAGUUAAAACAAUGUCACUUUUCUCUUGAAAUUUUUUUUGGAGGGAAACAUACUUGAUUUACAUAUAAUAAAUAUUUAAGUUAAUA